rnacentral:snoRNA from 1 species
UCCUGCAUUCGAAAGUGAUUGUGGGCUGCUGUGCCCCAGUCAUUGGUAGUGCAGGGAGACGAAUGGCUGAAAGAAAUUUUCCCCGUGUUUGGAGGGUCCACUCUGUCCCUUCCAAACCCUGUAGUUUUCACACA